AACGAACGCUGGCGGCAGGCCUAACACAUGCAAGUCGAACGGCCGUAGCAAUACGUCAGUGGCAGGCGGGUGAGUAACGCGUGGGAACGUGCCCCAAGGUACGGAACAACUUCGGGAAACUGGAGCUAAUACCGUAUGUGCCCGAAAGGGGAAAGAUUUAUCGCCUUGGGAUCGGCCCGCGUCGGAUUAGCUAGUUGGUAGGGUAACGGCCUACCAAGGCGACGAUCCGUAGCUGGUCUGAGAGGAGGGCCAGCCACACUGGGACUGGGACACGGCCCAGACUCCUACGGGAGGGAGCAGUGGGGAAUAUUGGACAAUGGGCGAAAGCCUGGUCCAGCCAUGCCGCGUGAGUGAUGAAGGCCUUAGGGUUGUAAAGCUCUUUCGCCAGGGACGAUAAUGACGGUACCUGGAUAAGAAGCCCCGGCUAACUUCGUGCCAGCCGCCGCAGUAACAC
rnacentral:rRNA from 1 species